GAAUCCUUUAAAUUAGCCCCGUGAGGCUAAGAAGGCAUAAUUAAUUAGUGAUAUGCAAUUAAUUAAAUCCUUUUGCCGCACGGGCAAAAGGAUUUUUUGUU
rfam:Lactobacillus rennini DSM 20253 NODE_28, whole genome shotgun sequence.